GAAAUGCGAUAACUAGUGUGAAUUGCAGAAUUCCGUGAAUCAUCGAGUCUUUGAACGCACAUUGCGCCCCCUGGUAUUCCGGGGGACAUGCCUGUCCGAGCGUCAUUGCUGCCCAUCAAGCACGGCUUGUGUGUUGGGUCGUCGUCCCCUCUCCGGGGGGGACGGGCCCCAAAGGCAGCGGCGGCACCGCGUCCGAUCCUCGAGCGUAUGGGGCUUUGUCACCCGCUCUGUAGGCCCGGCCGGCGCUUGCCGAACGCAAAUCAAUCUUUUUCCAGGUUGACCUCGGAUCAGGUAGGGAUACCCGCUGAACUUAAGC
rnacentral:misc_RNA from 1 species